GAAAUGCGAUACGUAGUGUGAAUUGCAGAAUUCCGUGAAUCAUCGAAUCUUUGAACGCAUAUUGCGCUCGAGGCUCCGGCCGAGAGCAUGUCUGUCUCAGCGUCGGCUCACCCUCUCGCCCUCAUUCCUUGUUGGAAUGCCAGGAGCGGAUGUGGCCGUCUCUCUCUCCAAUCAACGGAAAGGGGGUCGGCUGAAGCAAAGGGCUUGCGGCGGACCCUCGCGAAGGGACGCCAGCAUGGUAGGUGGCCAUCGAGCUACAUGCCGCUGUCGUUCAUUUCACAUAGAGGCUUGUCCAUCACCGCGCGGCCAAGCAGGAACCGGUUGUUUCCACCGAAACGAUCAAAUCUUCGACCUGAGAUCAGACAAGACCACCCGCUGAACUUAA
rnacentral:misc_RNA from 1 species